UACAGAGGGAGCAAGCGUUAAUCGGAAUUACUGGGCGUAAAGCGCACGCAGGCGGUCAUGUAAGUCGGGUGUGAAAUCCCCGGGCUCAACCUGGGAACUGCAUUCGAGACUGCAUGGCUAGAGUACGGUAGAGGAGGGCGGAAUUCCCGGUGUAGCGGUGAAAUGCGUAGAUAUCGGGAGGAACAUCAGUGGCGAAGGCGGCCCUCUGGACCAGUACUGACGCUCAUGUGCGAAAGCGUGGGGAGCAAACAGG
rnacentral:rRNA from 1 species